CUCUUUUUCAUUUCAUCCGGCAUGGAGAAAGGACGUGUUUUUACCUCUUCUGAGAAUUUAUUAAAAAUUCCUGAACUUGAACCAAGCUGAAAUUAUAAAAAUGAAAACGAUGUGAAAAUCAUGAAAAUUUAUUAAAAAUGAAGCAGAUUGCUUGGAAAAGCCAUUGAAGGUUGAAAAAUUCAAUGGCGGAUUGUUUCAAAGGCAUCAAUUUUGACUGAAAAGUGUUUCAGGACAUUUUUCAUGGCGAAAUUUCAGAAAAUUGAAGAAAUUAUGAAAAUUUCAUUAAAAAGUUUUUCUACGAUUUUUGGUCAUGGAAACGAUUUUAAAGGCAAUUUUAUUGUAAAAAAGAAAUUUUCAAUGCUGAUGCGUGCUUUUGAUCUAAAAACACCAAAAAUUGUCGUCUAAGUACAUUCAAGUGAAUAAAAAAUUAAUUUUUUAAA